rnacentral:lncRNA from 1 species
AAGGAUAUGCCAAUUUACAAGUACUUCAUCUAUAUAUAUAUAUGCGCAACGACACAUUUCUCAACUCACAACCAACUUUCGAUAUUUCAAUUGCUUCACAAAACUCUCAUAUACAUUCUUUCAUAUUCAUCUUCAACGUCACCAAGAUUUACUUCAACAAAAAGUCAAUGGCUAUUCACAAAAUUCUUAGACGAUCUUUAUCAUCUGAAAAUAGAUCAAAUGAAGUUCCAAAAGGGCAUUUAGCAGUGUAUGUCGGAGAAAGUGAAAAGAAGCGCUUCGUUAUUCCAUUAUCAUACUUGAAUCACCCUUCGUUUCAAUAAUUGCUAUGCCAAGUUGAAGAAGAGUUUGGGUUCCACCAUCCGAUGGGUGGCCUUUCUAUUCCUUGUAGUGAAGAGUCAUUCAUCGAUCUCACCUUUCACAUGAGCAGAACAUGAUAUACAUAUACAUAUAUAUAUAUAUACACUAGGUCUUAGAGAAAUAGAACUUGUGACAAACUAUUUUUUGUUUUUCUCUUUUUGAUCUGUACACACAGAUUUACGUUGUCGGGUACAAAAUGUAUUCCUGGACAAGUUAAUGGUAUUGCCUAACAAAAGUGUUAUUUAUACACUCAGCUAUGUUUUAUAUGUGAAUGCCUAAUCUACUUGCAAAAAAGUUAUGAAUACUUCACAAGUGGUUUACAAUUUAUCCCACAUCGAUGUAUUAAACUGCAGAUAGUGAGAUAAGAAUUAUAUAAAAAGGAAAAAUGUGCUUGGUAAACUUACUUACCUGGACGGGGUUGAUAGACGAUCAAGAAGGUCUAUAGCCUAUGCUUGUUACCUCCAUUGCACUUUGGAGGGGCGCUUGUGUAAGGUCGGCCCAAGUGGCCGAGCCUGCGUCAUAAUUUGUGUCAGAGGGGGC